rnacentral:piRNA from 1 species
CUUUUCUGAUCUUCAACUUGAAGCUUGA